AGAUUUUCGGUAGUGCGCUAUUUAUAAUUUUCGCAUUUAUUUGUGGAAUAUCGAUCUUGACCUUGAGAAUAUUUUAGCAAGUAUUUUGGUUUGACAUAUUAAUUACGAUUUUUACUUGUUAAUUAAAUCUCGCUUAUAUUAUGGCUUUGAGAAUAUUUUGAAGUAUGAGACACGUCAUUGAGUUUUAAUAUAAUUUCUUAUGAUGAUUUUCAAGUACGGUUGGGAAACGUACCAUUCGUAUGAUCUUGGGGAAGUUUAAUGGAUUUAAGUGAUUUCGUAUGUUUUUAGUCACCAUAAUAUAAGGUCGCUUAUAUUUCAUUACUAGCUAGCUUUAUUAGUGGUCCUCACCAUAGGUGAGUCGAACGCUUAGCGUGGGACGCUAUUAUAGCCUGGGAGACACCGAUCAGAUAUUAUUAUUUAUUGGUAGCUAGACGACCCACUAUCCGAAGAAGUAGGACCCGAAGUGGGCACCCGGUGUAUCUCAGGCAUACAGGGUGCAGACACCUCCGUCUGGGUCUGAGGCCACAGCUGCCUCGAGGAACGAGGGACGCUCGGCUGCCUCGAUGAAUGGGGCACCUCCGGCUGCCUCUGCGCCGUCUCCAGAAGGCUCGCACGUCUGGCUAUCAUCUGGCCCUGAAACGAUGUUUGAGGGUUGCUAGAGGUUCCCUUAAACGAUUCGGACCUUUGGCCCUUUGAACUCUUCUUCGAUCUAAAAUAGCCACUCAUCCUGUUUAAAAUAUUAAUUUGAAUGAAGGCUGAGGCAUGGGCGGAUACACUUAUUCAAUGUUGCUCGUUAAUUCAAGGCUGAGACAACAUUGAAAAAGUAAAAAUUCAAUCUUAUUUUGUCUUUAUUCUAUAAAAAAUAUUUUUGAAACCAUAUUUUUUUCAUUAUGUUCUUGCUUAAAUUUAAACACUUAAUAUAAUGUGAAAUAUAUAUAUUUUGAAAUUAUACUUGUUCAAAAAUAUGAAUUCAAUUAAAUAUAUAUAUUCAUCCAGAUUUGAUAUAGGUUUUUAUAUUUUAUAUUUUGUAUCUUAUGUUUAAAAAUUCGUACCCAGCCCACGAUGAAUGAAGUACCUAGUCAUGGAAUAUAACAAGUGCACAGUGCAAGCUUCAAGUUCAUUACCAACAAAGCAUAUGUUUAAAAAAUGAGGAUAAUUUAUCUCCUAAACAUAAAUUUGGGAACUUGGACAGUAAAACAUAAAGCAUGGCCUAAAAAUCAAUUCGAAAUCAAAAGUAAAAAAGAAGAAAAACGCUAACCUUGGAGACCGAGAGAGGGAGAGGGAGGAGGGAGGAGGGAGGAGGUGGAGACAGGGAGAGGGAGGGAGGAGGGAGGACACGGAGACCGGGAGAGGGAGGGAGGAGGGAGGAGGCGGAGACUGGGAGAGGGAGAGGGAGAGGAGGCGGAAAAGGAGGCUAGGGUUUUUCUGCUGGGUGUUCGUCUCUAAACCCGACAACUUUAGCCAACGAAAUUAUUAUUUCGUCGGCUAAAGAUACAAAUCUCGUCGGCUAAGAUAAAACUCGUCGGCUAAAACCUUUGAAAUUCGUCGGCUAAACAUUUGCAAUUCGUCUGCUAAACCUUUGAAAUUUGUCGGCUAAACCUUUGAAAUUCAUCGGCUAACAGUUGAAAUUCGUCGGCUUAAGUACUUUUAUACAUUCGGCACAUUGUGAUUGUGAUGAUCAAACUUGAGAAACAAAAAUCCGACCGUCAGAUCUGACCAUCAUGACAAAAUACAUGUAUGGGAAAUAAUUCAACUUGAUCCGACAAGGUUAAGGGCUCGAUCCGGACGGUCAAUCCCGUAAGUCAAACCCCUAAAUGCACGGAAAAGGCCGUUGGACCGUCUAAAUUUCGUAUUUUGGCCGGACCUUCAACUGAAAAUAGUUUCAAAUCGAUGAGACGCAACAAGUCAUAUAAAAAUUUUACGCAAAAUAACCACCGAAGAUAGGGCUACUCAUAGGGAGAAAGAAUCAAAAAUUGCAUUGACCGCAACUAUCGGCACCGAAUCUUUACCGGAAUACCGUGAUUUUUCAACCGUGGAUGUAUUUCACCAUUCUGGUCAUAUCUUAUUUCACGACUUUUUUGCAUUUGAAGAUUUUACGCAUAGUUUGUUUUUGAAACGGAACAUUUACUUAAAACACUUGGUAAACAAGUUAUACAACAUUAGUAGGCAUGUUGUGAUUGUGAUGAUAAAACUUGACAAACAUAAAUCCGACCGUCAGAUCUGACCAUCAUGACAAAAUACAUGUAUGGGAAAAAAUUCAACUUGAUCCGACAAGGUUAAGGGCUCGAUCUGGACGGUCAAUCCCGUAAGUCAAACCCCUAAAAGCACGGAAAAUGUCGUUCGACGGUCUAAAUUAUGUAUUUUGGCCGGACGUCCAACUGAAAAUAGUUUCAAAAUGAUGAGACGCAAGAAGUCGUAUAAAAAUUUUACGGAAAAUAACCACCGAAGAUAGGGCUAUAGUACGCAGUAGAAAAAUUUUAGGUUUUAGCCGACGAAUACCCUAACACAUUCGUCAGCUAUAGUAUGUAAAUAAAAAAUUAAAAAGUAACUAAAGCCGACUAAAUAUUAGGUUAAUCGUCGGCUAAAACCAUCUUAGCCGACGAAAUAUACUAUAUUUCAUCGGCUAAGAUGGUUUUAGCUGACGAAUUAUAGUGUAAUUCAUCGGCUAAAAUAGUUUUAGCCGAUGAAUUAUGGUGUAUUUCGUCGGCUAAAGUAAAAAAACACAUUAAAAAAACAGAAGGUUUUAGUUGUCACAUCCCGGUUCUUAAGUCAAUUUGCGGUUAUUUACUUUUGGGUUACUUUGGCUUUUACCGUUUUGAGUAACCGUUUACUAUUUAAGGCUCCAAAAGUUGACUUUUUCUUUCGUCUAAAAUUUGGAAAAACUUUCUUCAUGAAAGUCGUAGAAGACGUUAAGCGGAGUUCGUAGACGCGUGGCAUGCUUAAAUAGGAGUUCGUAUGAAUAAGUUAUGGUCUAAAAACAAAAGUUACUAUUUUGGUUGGGGUAUAAAAAUGGAAACUUACCGGAUGGGUAAGGUAAGAAAUCAGUUUCACCCCCCUCACUCUCUCUUCUCUCUCCCGCGCCUCUCCUCCGACCGGCAACUUCAUCACCUCCAUCCGCCGUCGUCCGGCCGAGCUAGGUGGCGUGCUUGGUAUCAAUUUGAAGCUUGGAGCAUCCUCUACAAGUCUAGGUAGGUGGCAGCCGGUGUCGCGCCGCCGUGAAGGAGAAAUCAUGCCGGAAAGCCGCGGCUGUGCGUGGUGGGGUUUUCGCCAGAAAAUCCCUUUUCCGGCCACCAUAGCCGGAGCUGUUGGUCUCAACUUGAAGCUCUCCCUCCCAGCAGCAAAACCCUAAAAGGAUUCAUCCUAACUCGAGCUAGGUAAGGAGAAUCAAAGGUUUGAAUCUUCUAGGGUUCUUGAUUGUGUUUUUGUUCGAUUGACAUGUUUAAGCUUGAAAUUGGACUUAGUGAUAAUUAUGAAAGUUGUUUGGGAUGUUGAGAGGAAGAUGUUGUUAAAAUUUGGUAGCCAUUAGGGGUCGCCGGCCGCCGCUGCCGGCGGAGCAGACGGCGGCGCCGCCGUUGUAAGGGGGCUUUUCAGGGUUUUAAAUGUGUUAUGUUAAGGGGAGUUUAAUGAUGUGAAGUUUGGAAUUUUUGGAGGAGUUUUGAUAAGGUUUGGGAUUUUUAAAAGAUUAAGGAUUUUUCCGGUUAUUAGAAUAAAAAUCCGGCCGUUGGAUUUCCUUGGUAUUUUUUUAUAGAAUGUUAGAAUUGAUGAAUUAAGGUUGUGGUGGAGUUUGGUGCGAAUCCGGCGAGUUUAACCCUAUUAAGAGUAGUGGGUUAAACAGAAGAGAGUUGGAUGUUUUUAUUCAUGUAUUUAUUUUCUGGAAUUGAAGUUUGGUUCUAAGCAUGGUUGUUGUGCCAGGAUGCGAAGGGAACCUCUCUUGAGUGGCGAUGCGGUUAUGGUUGGGCUUAUGCCUAAAGUUGUGAGUGGACAUUUUGGUUUAAUUAAAUAUGCAUGCAAGAUUUUAUAAAUUAUCAUUUUAUUUUUCCGAGCAUAUAUUAUCAUUUUCGGCUCAUGAGAUGAUCUUGAAAAUUAUUUGAGUGUGAUGCAUUGAUUAACGUUUGGUCAUGAUUUAUGGAUUUAAGCUCGGAUUAUUAAUUUGAUAUUUGAGUUUGGUUAUUUUAUAAGUUUCGGAUUUCAUUGUGAUUGAUUUAAUGGUGACUUUGGGAUUAAUAAAUGAUUACCGAAAAUGGGAUUUUCGGUAGUUCUCCAUCAUAAUUUAAUUGUUUAUUUGAGGCAUAAUGAUUUUGACUUGGAGAUUAUUUUAGCGAGUAUUUUCGAGUGGAGAUAUUGUUAUUUAUGAUUUAUGUUUGAUAUUGAAAUCUCGCUUAUAAUAUGGUUUCGAGAAUAUUUUGACGUGUGAGACACGUCAUUGAGUUUUAGUAUAAUUUCUUAUGAUGAUUUUCAAAUACGGUUGGGAACCGUACCAUUCAUUUGAUAUUGGGGAAGUUUAAUGGAUUUAAGUGACUUCGUAUGAUUUUAGUCACCAUAAUAUAGGGUCGCUUUUAUAUUGAUUAUUGCUAGCUAAUCUUAUUAGCGGUCCUCAUCAUAUGUGAGUUGAGCACUUAGCGUGGGAUGCUAUUAUAGCCUUAUUUAGUGGUCCUCAUCAUAUGUGAGUUGAGCACUUAGCGUGGGACGCUAUUUUAGCCUAGGAGGCAUCGACCCGAGCCUGGGAGGCUCUUUUUUUUCGUGGUGAUAACUCUUCCCCUUAUUUAUUCUUCUCAAUAAUAUAAUUGAUUAACCAGCGGGGCUGGUUUAUCUUCUCGUAUGAGAUUUCUAUUUUAAUUAACCAGCGGGGCUGGUUUGUCCUUUAUUAAAUGAUUUUGGAUUUAAAGUUUUAAGGAUAUUUAAGUUCCAUGCUGUUAAGUUUUAAAAGUUGAAAAAUGGGAAAGUAUAAAAGUUUUAUAAUUAAGUUAUUGAAUUUAUUUUUCGUCCACUCACUCUAACGUUUUUAAAUGCCCAGUUUGCAGGCUAAGUUAAUUGAGGUUGAGCGUACAUGAAGUCGAGGUAUAGUCAGAGGCUGCUUCCGCUUAAUCUUUAUUUAUUGUUAUUCUUUCAUUACUAGAUAUGCUUUGAUAACUUGUUAGUGAAGAAAUGAUGUCUUUGUUGUUGGUUGUGGAAUUCCCGAAGUUUAGUAUUUAAU
rnacentral:lncRNA from 1 species